rnacentral:rRNA from 1 species
CGCGCCGUAUUAGCUAGUUGGUAAGGUAACGGCUUACCAAGGCAACGAUACGUAGCCGACCUGAGAGGGUGAUCGGCCACACUGGAACUGAGACACGGUCCAGACUCCUACGGGAGGCAGCAGUAGGGAAUCUUCCGCAAUGGGCGAAAGCCUGACGGAGCAACGCCGCGUGAGUGAUGAAGGUCUUAGGAUCGUAAAACUCUGUUGUUAGGGAAGAACAAAUUUGUUAGUAACUGAACAAGUCUUGACGGUACCUAACCAGAAAGCCACGGCUAACUGCGUGCCAGCAGCCGCGGUAAUACGUAGGUGGCAAGCGUUAUCCGGAAUUAUUGGGCGUAAAGCGCGCGUAGGCGGUUUCUUAAGUCUGAUGUGAAAGCCCACGGCUCAACCGUGGAGGGUCAUUGGAAACUGGGGAACUUGAGUGCAGAAGAGGAGAGUGGAAUUCCAUGUGUAGCGGUGAAAUGCGCAGAGAUAUGGAGGAACACCAGUGGCGAAGGCGGCUCUCUGGUCUGUAACUGACGCUGAUGUGCGAAAGCGUGGGGAUCAAACAGGAUUAGAUACCCUGGUAGUCCACGCCGUAAACGAUGAGUGCUAAGUGUUAGGGGGUUUCCGCCCCUUAGUGCUGCAGCUAACGCA